GCUGACACAUCCCUGCCAAUCUCCGGCAGACCCUCCCUCCCAGACCCUCCUACUUCCUGGACAGCAUCCAUGUUGAAGGCAGCUUCAACAUGGAUGCUGUCCAGGAGGUGGGAGGGUCUGGGAGGGAGGGUCUGCCGGAUAUUGGCAGGGAUGUGUCAG
rnacentral:miRNA from 1 species